AUGAACGCUGGCGGCGUGCCUAAUACAUGCAAGUUGAGCGAACAGAUGAGGAGCUUGCUCCUCUGACGUUAGCGGCGGACGGGUGAGUAACACGUGGAUAACCUACCUAUAAGACUGGGAUAACUUCGGGAAACCGGAGCUAAUACCGGAUAAUAUAUUGAACCGCAUGGUUCAAUAGUGAAAGACGGUUUUGCUGUCACUUAUAGAUGGAUCCGCGCCGCAUUAGCUAGUUGGUAAGGUAACGGCUUACCAAGGCAACGAUGCGUAGCCGACCUGAGAGGGUGAUCGGCCACACUGGAACUGAGACACGGUCCAGACUCCUACGGGAGGCAGCAGUAGGGAAUCUUCCGCAAUGGGCGAAAGCCUGACGGAGCAACGCCGCGUGAGUGAUGAAGGUCUUCGGAUCGUAAAACUCUGUUAUUAGGGAAGAACAAAUGUGUAAGUAACUAUGCACGUCUUGACGGUACCUAAUCAGAAAGCCACGGCUAACUACGUG
rnacentral:rRNA from 1 species